rnacentral:misc_RNA from 1 species
CCAUGGCCAAUUUCCAGAUCAAUCUCCUCCCCAAGUUCCCUUACGACUAAGUGAUGCCUCUGCGCCUGCUGAAUCAAGUUCAUAUCAUCCAUUGCAGAAUUCAUCCCUACUCCACCAGUCCGCAGCAACAUUAAGCAUGACAGUCUUACCACACUAUAAAAUCCUACAGAGUCUUAAGAUAACAGAAGUAGCCAAAGUUGCCGUCUU